UUAACAAAAACAUGUCCUUUUGAUUUUUAUUUAAGGUCUAAUCUGCUCAAUGAAAUUUAAAUUGCCGCAGUAUUUUAACUGUGCGAAGGUAGCAUAAUAAUUAGUUUCUUAAUUGGAAGCUGGAAUGAAUGAUUGGACGAGAAAGUUUCUGUCUCAUUUUAAUUUUUUAUUGAAUUUUAUUUUUAAGUUAAAAAGCUUAAAUAAAUAUGAAAGACGAGAAGACCCUAUAGAGUUUAAUAUUAAAUUUUAAUAAUACUUUAGUAAUAAAUUUUAGGUUUUAAUAUUUGGUUGGGGUGACUUGGAGAUUAAUUUAAUUCUCUAAAUUUUUAAUUGAUGAUGUUUAAUUUUAAAAUCUGUAAAUUAUAAAUAUAAAAAUAAUUACCUUAGGGAUAACAGCGUAAUUUUUCUUAAAAGUUCUUAUUUAAAGAAGAUUUUGCGACCUCGAUGUUGGAUUAAAAUUAAUUUUUGGUGCAGUAACUUAAAAAUUAGGUCUGUUCGACCUUUAAAAUUUUACAUGAUCUGAGUUUAAACCGGUGUAAGCCAGGUUGGAUUCUAUCUUUAAUUAAUUGAUUCAUUUUAGUACGAAAGGACCAAGUGUUUAUUAGAUAUUAAUUG
rnacentral:rRNA from 1 species